GACGAACGCUGGCGGCGUGCUUAACACAUGCAAGUCGAACGGAAAGGCCCUGCUUUUGUGGGGUGCUCGAGUGGCGAACGGGUGAGUAACACGUGAGUAACCUGCCCUUGACUUUGUGAUAACUUCAUGAAACUGGGGCUAAUACCGGAUAGGAGCUCCUGCUGCAUGGUGGGGGUUGGAAAGUUUCGGCGGUUGGGGAUGGACUCGCGGCUUAUCAGCUUGUUGGUGGGGUAGUGGCUUACCAAGGCUUUGACGGGUAGCCGGCCUGAGAGGGUGACCGGCCACAUUGGGACUGAGAUACGGCCCAGACUCCUACGGGAGGCAGCAGUGGGGAAUAUUGCACAAUGGGCGGAAGCCUGAUGCAGCAACGCCGCGUGCGGGAUGACGGCCUGCGGGUUGUAAACCGCUUUCGCCUGUGACGAAGCGUGAGUGACGGUAAUGGGUAAAGAAGCACCGGCUAACUACGUG
rnacentral:rRNA from 1 species